rnacentral:misc_RNA from 1 species
GCAAACUUGGUCAUUUAGAGGAAGUAAAAGUCGUAACAAGGUUUCCGUAGGUGAACCUGCGGAAGGAUCAUUAUUGAAUAAACUUGAUAAAUUGUUGCUGGCUCUUGUAUUGGAGCAGGUGCACAUUUAUCAUUUUUAUCUUUCCACCAUGUGCACAAUGCAUAGACCUGAAAUAUUUAUUUGAUCCUUUGAUCAUCCAGGAAAUUGCUGUUGUAACAGGCUGCUCUUUCUGUAUUCAGGUUCUAUGAUCUUUAUAUACUCCAAUGUAUGUUAACGAACGUAUUAAAGGGUUCUUUGAAACCUAUAAUAUUCUAUACAACUUUCAGCAACGGAUCUCUUGGCUCUCGCAUCGAUGAAGAACGCAGC